rnacentral:misc_RNA from 1 species
UCGCGGAAGCCCUCGUCAAGCAAAUCGGUUUCUUGGCCGUUUCUCAAGCCGGAGCGAUGCGUAAAGUAGCCACGUACUUCGCUGAAGCCUUAGCUCGCAGAAUCUGCAGAAUCUACAGACUCUAUCCUCAAAGCCCUAUGGACCAUUCACUCUCCGAUAUUCUCCAGAUGGACUUCUACGAAACCUGCCCUUAUCUCAAAUUCGCUCACUUCACUGCUAAUCAAGCAAUUCUUGAGGCCUUUGAAGGGAAAAAACGAGUGCACGUUAUCGACUU